CCCUGGGUGGCUCAGUUGGUUGAGCGUCUGACUCCUCAGACUCAGGUCUGACUGCGGCUCAGGUCACAGUUCGUGGGUUCGAGCCCCACGUCGGGCU
rnacentral:tRNA from 1 species